rnacentral:lncRNA from 1 species
AGGAACAUAGUUAUUUCUAUGGUGCCAGUAAUAGCUUCAUGGGAGCUGGUUGAAAUGAAUAUGAGAAAAUACCCAAAAGUACAUUUCUUCCCCAACUUUGACUGCUUUUCCUUCUUAGGAAUGGAAGGAAAUCAAUAUUCAUCAGCAUCGGUAAAGCUCUGAAGUUGAAAACCGUGUUUCUUUUAGAAUUUUUGAUUCUUCUCUUCUUCUUCCGGAAAGUAAUGAGACUUUCCACAUUACACAGAAACUAGUUCCUUGCCAAAUGAAUUCUUGAAAGUCAGACUGUGAUGUAAUUUAAAAAGAUAAGUGUGGUUGUGUUUGGCAAGCUAGAAGCUGAGAUUCAUGCUAAAUAAAUUAGAAGAGCUGUGGGGGAAAUCAGACCGAAUUUUCCUGCCUGUGUAAACACAACAUGCAGAUGAUGCUUGCCUGGCAUUGGGUGUAUUGGAAACUAAGUAUGGGUUCUUUCAAAUGAUGCUAAGUAUCAGCAAUGCUCCGUGACAAACUAGGUGCAGAUUCCUAUUUUAGUUUUUUGUUAGUGGUCAUAGAGUAUAAGUCUGUUGAGUUUCUGAAGUCUAAUAAGAGGUAUUUCUAUUGGGAGGUAUUUCUAUUGGGAUGUAGAUCAAUUUCUCCUGUUCAUGGUGGUCACAGUAAACUGAUUUAAUAAAAGCAUUGACGCUUUCCUGGUCCAGCUUUGUCACAGGAGAAAUACAUCCCUUAAGUAAAAACUCUUCAAAACAAAAAAAAAAGAGCUAGAGGAGUAUUUUACUGUUUUAUGGAGUUAAGAGAAAGCUAGGCGUAUAGAGUUUAGAGUUUCUUGUUUAGAAGUAAUGUCAUAUUGCCUUUUCAUUUAGAAUCACUAGUGUCACUCAAAGGCAACCCUCUCACUGUUGAAAAGCAAGACCUUUCUAAUUCUAUGUUGUAAUGAUAAAGUUUGAAUUAAACCACCAUGUGAUCACAACCUGGUCUUUAGGUCGAUCUGAUGUAAUAAAGGAAAGUGUAAAGGUGUGGCUAAAAGUGUAAACUAGAAAUGAACUUGCACAUUAACUCUGGGAUUGUAAAUAAGUGUAAAUCUCAAUGCAGUAUCUCUUGUUAGGGCUCUAUUUGUAAUAAAGAAUUGUCCACCUAAUUAUAACAUUCCAUAUUCAAACUGGAAAAUUCUUCUGCAUCUCUUUGUUUCUAGUACAAAGAAGCAUUAAGUAAAAUGUUCACUCGUACAAAAGUAUUCAGAUGCCCUCCCCCC